ACAGAGGCCUCGAGCGUUAGGCGGAAUCACUGGGCUUGAAGCGUGUGUAGGCGGAGUGCUAAGUACCUUGUGAAAUCCCACGGCUUAACCGUGGAAUUGCUUGGUAUACUGGCAUUCUUGAGCCAUCUAGGGGCGAGCGGAACAGACGGUGGAGCGGUGAAAUGCGUAGAUAUCGUCUGGAACGCCAACGGUGAAAACAGCUCGCUGGGGAUGUGCUGACGCUGAGACACGAAAGCCAGGGGAGCAAACGGGA
rnacentral:rRNA from 1 species